UACCUGGUUGAUUCUGCCAGUAGUCAUACGCUUGUCUCAAAGAUUAAGCCAUGCAUGUCUAAGUUCAAGCGAAAAUAAAGUGAAACCGCGAAUGGCUCAUUACAUCAGUUAUGGUUCCUUAGAUCGCACUUACUACUUGGAUAACUGUGGUAAUUCUAGAGCUAAUACAUGCACUGAGCUCCAACCCUCGUGGAAGGAGCGCUUUUAUUAGAUCAAAGCCAAUCGGGCCUUCGGGUCCGUACCGUUGGUGACUCUGAAUAACUUUGCUGAUCGCAUGGUCUCGUACCGGCGACGUAUCUUUCAAGUGUCUGCCUUAUCAACUGUCGAUGGUAGGUUAUGCGCCUACCAUGGUUGUAACGGGUAACGGGGAAUCAGGGUUCGAUUCCGGAGAGGGAGCCUGAGAAACGGCUACCACAUCCAAGGAAGGCAGCAGGCGCGCAAAUUACCCACUCCCGGCACGGGGAGGUAGUGACGAAAAAUAACGAUACGGAACUCAUACGAGGCUCCGUAAUCGGAAUGAGUACACUUUAAAUCCUUUAACGAGGAUCUAUUGGAGGGCAAGUCUGGUGCCAGCAGCCGCGGUAAUUCCAGCUCCAAUAGCGUAUAUUAAAGUUGUUGCGGUUAAAAAGCUCGUAGUUGGAUCUCGGUUUCGGGCGGGCGGUGCACCUUGCGGUGUUUACUGUCUGCCCGGACGAUUUUGUUGGUUCGUUCGUGGUUCUCUUAACCGAGUGCCACGGGUGGCCAGCACGUUUACUUUGAAAAAAUUGGAGUGCUCAAAGCAGGCGCUACAGCCUGAACAUUAGUGCAUGGAAUAAUGGAAUAGGACCUCGGUUCUAUUUCGUUGGCUUUCGGAGUCGAGGUAAUGAUUAAUAGGAACAGACGGGGGCAUUCGUACUGCGACGUUAGAGGUGAAAUUCUUGGAUCGUCGCAAGACGAACUACUGCGAAAGCAUUGNCCAAGAAUGUUUUCAUUAAUCAAGAACGAAAGUUAGAGGUUCGAAGGCGAUCAGAUACCGCCCUAGUUCUAACCAUAAACGAUGCCGACCGGCGAUCCGCCGUCGUUAAUUGAAUGACUCGGCGGGCAGCCUCCGGGAAACCAGAGUGUUUGGGUUCCGGGGGAAGUAUGGUUGCAAAGCUGAAACUUAAAGGAAUUGACGGAAGGGCACCACCAGGAGUGGAGCCUGCGGCUUAAUUUGACUCAACACGGGAAAUCUCACCAGGCCCGGACACCGGAAGGAUUGACAGAUUGAGAGCUCUUUCUUGAUUCGGUGGGUGGUGGUGCAUGGCCGUUCUUAGUUGGUGGAGCGAUUUGUCUGGUUAAUUCCGAUAACGAACGAGACUCUGGCCUACUAACUAGAUGUAGGAUCCCUUUGUGGGUCCGUCACUGCUUCUUAGAGGGACGGGCGGCUUUUAGCCGCACGAGAAUGAGCAAUAACAGGUCUGUGAUGCCCUUAGAUGUUCUGGGCUGCACGCGCGCUACACUGAAGGAAUCAGCGUGUGUUCCCUACCCGAAAGGGUUGGGAAACCCGUUGAACCUCCUUCGUGAUGGGGAUUGGGGAUUGCAAUUAUUCCCCAUGAACGAGGAAUUCCCAGUAGGCGCGAGUCAUAAGCUUGCGUCGAUUACGUCCCUGCCCUUUGUACACACCGCCCGUCGCUACUACCGAUCGAGUGAUUUAGUGAGGACUUCGGACUGGUCUUCGUGGUGGCUCUCGAGUCAUCGCGGAGUUCCGGAAAGAUGCCCAAACUUGAUCACUAAGAGGGAGUAAAAGUCGUAACA
rnacentral:rRNA from 1 species